UGAAGUGACUUACACCUGCAUUCUACCUGAAGGCCUCAAGAUGGCGAUAGCUGUGGUUUCCUGUCGUUUUUCAGAAGUCUACAAGAAAAUGGUCAUUAGGUUCAGAGAAAGAUGGCGGUGGAUGAUGGUGGUGGAAACAGUAAUCUCAAGGCCUCAAGGACUUCAUAAAUCAAUGGAAUGGUUGAUUUUUUUAAAGGUAGUCUGCACCGUCUUUUAUAAUGUGGUUUUUGUCCCCCUUACAUUGACAUCUUUAAUGUUGAAGAUGGAUCAGAACUGGAGGUGUGACAAAUACAACUCCCACUAUGGCAGCUCUCUUCAUCCUUCAGCUGCUUCUGUCUACAAGCAGAUGUCUCAGGACAAAGAGCAGGGAUGCUCAGCACCUGUCUGCAUACAAGCAAACUUAAAAGUAACAACGCCAAAAAUGACACCACCAUAAUUUCCUGCUACAUGUGUACCAAGGAACAACAGAACAGAAAUGGCAGCUGGGUGAAAUGAAAGAAGCCAACACAGGUCUUCUGGGCUGAAAGAGCAAAGCAAAACUGAAAGAGGGAGCUGGGUGUAGCUGGCACAGGAGUGCUGGUGCACUGAUCUACUGUGCAGCAUCAAGAGGCAGCACCGAAGAAUCAUCGACUGGAAAUGCAAGCAGACAUCUGAAGUAUGCAAGCAACAGUGACGGCAGUCAUCGUGGAAACAAUUGCUAUUGACAUUUUUUUAUGUUUGGUGAGGAUUUGAUGAUCGGAACACCUUGCCGACUGUUCAGUGGGUGGAAAAUAUUCACUUUGAGGUUAUGUGACACACACAGAGAAUUCCACGAUAUGUCAGCAAAUUAUGGAAACAAAUAUCAUGCAGUCAGCCAAAGACAAGAAACUGAAAAUAGGCUGGCUUCUACAAUAGGACGAUGGUCCAAAACACGGCGUAAAAUCUGCCAUGAACUUCUCAAACACAGGAAAUCUGCGGGUAGAUCUUAACUUGUUUAAGAUCUCAAGGAAAGCGGCAGAAAAUUCCUGAGACUUUUAGCUGGCUACACAAAGUAUUUGCAAGCUUUAAUUCUGCCUGAGUGAGGUAACUAAAUUCUGACAGCUUAAUCAUUUUUUUAAAAAUUAUUUUUCGCUUCAAUGAAUAAAAAGUAAUUUGCUUCUUUUCACGUCAAAAACCAGCAGAACUUUUGCAUACAGCUGUGUAGUUCAGCUGAAAAACGAACAUAGAUUUGCACAUCUGGUGCACUGCUGCAGUCAAACAGUGGCAAACGGAGAGCUGACAGAUAACAAUACUGCUCGUGACAAUGACAACAAUGAUGAAGCCAUUAUCUGCCCCGCCCUCCCUCGUCCCCGCCUUCUUCCUUAAUGUGGGGGGCAGCUAAAGGGUGUGUUUAACAUGCUAGUGAAGCAGGAGGAUGAUUCUGGAGUAAAUCACUUGUGGAAAGGUGAAAUGUGGCCAGCACGAGUCGGCCUAAUCCAUGCCAGACAUGUGCAGAACACCAGAGGAGCAGGUGCAAACAAUUGAAGCAGCUGUCAGUGAGCUGCCGUGAUCUCUUUUGAUAUCUUAAUUGUUAGUCAAUCCAAGAGCAAUUUUGGCAACAUUGCUGUCAGCCCCAGGACUUGCCCCGCUUAGCUUCAAUCUGUCAGGGCCUCGCGGGGCUCUGGUGCUGCUGCUCCCUCCCUGACUGAGGGCCCAUGUCUCCUGGAUGUGUGUGUCCAGCCCAUCGAGCAUCUCCGAGGGAAAUCGGGCCUGAUUGCUGCCAUUUCCGCUCACUUUGGAGGUUUGGGUCGGGGGUGCAGGCUAAUGCUGAUAAUUGCCUUUCUUCAAAACUACUGGAAUUCCUCCCACCCAACUCCGUCCGGCCCCGUCCCGACCCCCCUCGUCUGUUCAAUAUUCCCAAACAUUGUGAUUAGCAUAAGAGCAGAGUGUGUGUCAGUACUGAUUUAGGUCUCCGAUCUGAGACUCUCCAGAUACCUCUGCUGCGGAGUCGUUUAGGACAGGGGUGAUCAGGAGCUACACGGCUCGAGCUCGACAGAUGUGGGCCCGAGCAAUCAGACUGUAAGAAGCACCACCAAGCUAUGAGCUAAUGCAGCUCUCAGCCAAAUCUAGCUGAAGCAAUUGUUCUAAUUUAACGUGAUAGCUACAUUAAAAUUCAGAAGUCCUUAUAUAAAAAUGAAAUGACACAUUCAUAUUUUCACACACACACCCAGACGCUCACACACAUUCGCAGACAUCCAAGUGGCGUCAUUAUAAAGAGAUAACUCACAGUGCAGUGACAGUGAGUGACCUGUCUCUAUCCAUUCAAAGUGAGGUGAGGCCCGACUGUAAGGCCCAGCCUGACCCUCUCCGGGUGAUUUAUGUGGCCCCAGUAAGCCGGGUCUAUUUGAGGGCCCGGCGAGGAAUGAAAGUGUUAACAGCGGGUGUUGGGGAAGGUGGGUGCUGAAGAAGAGUUAUGAGUUUUCUCAGCUGAGCGCCCAGCUUUGGGUUUCUGACAUUGUUUUCAUCGGGGAGGGAGGGCAGAGUGGAGUAGUAAAAAGUGGUGAGGGGGGGGGCAGGCAAAAAAGAUGGGAGCAGGGAGGGGAGUGCGUGGAGCCCGCAGGCUUGAACUCCACAGCUGAACCACUGACCCCGACCAUCCAUCAGUGCAGGGGUGUGACAAGGCAGGGGCAAGGGUAUGUGACAGGAGGGGGCAGGAGUGAUGGGAGAUGGAGGUGGGGGAAAGGGACUGAGGGCUCUAAUGGGCUUUGGGACAUGGGAGGGGCUGGUCACUGAGGAGGGUAAGGAAAGGCUAGUGUACUGUAAAAGGAUGCAGCAGAUUAAUAGGCGGAGAUUUCUGGUUAAGACAAAACACUGUUGUAGGUGCUGUGCAUUACAGUCAUUUGGUAGUGUGCAGGUCUAAAGAUGGGGCUUGAUUGAGGUUUGAAUAUCAUCAUAUUUGAGGUCAGAAUGCUUUGCUUGACUCCUUUUUGAGCAACAAUUGCAAGUGACCAAAAUGUAAGUACUUAAGAAGUUAAAGUAGUAGAGUAGCUUUCAAAAUAUCUAAAAAUAAAACAAAUGCUUAUGCUUUUGGUUCUGAUCUCUACUUUUAUUCACAGUGGAAACAAGUCGGUCUGUUUGUGCACAACCAGCUGCAAAGUUUGUCGUAUAUUAGCUUUAUAUGCGACGCCACUUUUAGAAAUAAAACUACCAGUGCUGGUCAAACCACCCAAACUUUUAAGAGGCAGAGCAGGUUCGCAACUGACUGCAGUAAAUGUUUUGCACGUCGCAGUUUGCUGAUAG